rnacentral:rRNA from 1 species
AUGGCUCAGGAUGAACGCUGGCGGCGUGCUUAACACAUGCAAGUCGAACGAUGAUCCGGUGCUUGCACCGGGGAUUAGUGGCGAACGGGUGAGUAACACGUGAGUAACCUGCCCUUAACUCUGGGAUAAGCCUGGGAAACUGGGUCUAAUACCGGAUAUGACUCCUCAUCGCAUGGUGGGGGGUGGAAAGCUUUUUGUGGUUUUGGAUGGACUCGCGGCCUAUCAGCUUGUUGGUGAGGUAAUGGCUUACCAAGGCGACGACGGGUAGCCGGCCUGAGAGGGUGACCGGCCACACUGGGACUGAGACACGGCCCAGACUCCUACGGGAGGCAGCAGUGGGGAAUAUUGCACAAUGGGCGCAAGCCUGAUGCAGCGACGCCGCGUGAGGGAUGACGGCCUUCGGGUUGUAAACCUCUUUCAGUAGGGAAGAAGCGAAAGUGACGGUACCUGCAGAAGAAGCGCCGGCUAACUACGUGCCAGCAGCCGCGGUAAUACGUAGGGCGCAAGCGUUAUCCGGAAUUAUUGGGCGUAAAGAGCUCGUAGGCGGUUUGUCGCGUCUGCCGUGAAAGUCCGGGGCUCAACUCCGGAUCUGCGGUGGGUACGGGCAGACUAGAGUGAUGUAGGGGAGACUGGAAUUCCUGGUGUAGCGGUGAAAUGCGCAGAUAUCAGGAGGAACACCGAUGGCGAAGGCAGGUCUCUGGGCAUUAACCGACGC